GAUGAAGAACGCAGCGAAAUGCGAUAAGUAAUGUGAAUUGCAGAAUUCAGUGAAUCAUCGAAUCUUUGAACGCACCUUGCGCCCUUUGGACUUCUGAAGGGCAUGCCUGUUUGAGUAUCAUGAACACCUCAACUCCUUAUGGUCUUCCAUGAUGAGCUUGGACUUUGGGGGUUUUGCUGGCCUACAGUCAGCUCCUCUAAAAUAAAUCAGCUUACCGGUGUUUGGUGGGUAUCAUGGGUGUGAUAACUAUCAACGCUCGUGGUUUUCCACCAGGUAACCUUCAGCAGUGGAGGUUCACUGGAGCUCAUAGAUGUCUCUCCUCAGCGAGGACAGCCCUUUGAAUGUUUGAUCUCAAAUCAGGUAGGACUACCCGCUGAACUUAAGCAUAUCAAUAAGCGGAGGA
rnacentral:misc_RNA from 1 species